UACAGAGGUCCCAAGCGUUGUUCGGAUUCACUGGGCGUAAAGGGUGCGUAGGUGGUCAGGUAAGUCUGAUGUGAAAGCUCUGGGCUCAACCCAGAAAUGGCAUUGGAUACUAUCUGGCUAGAGGAAUGGAGGGGGGACUGGAAUACUUGGUGUAGCAGUGAAAUGCGUAGAUAUCAAGUGGAACACCAGUGGCGAAGGCGAGCCCCUGGACAUUUCCUGACACUGAGGCACGAAAGCUAGGGGAGCAAACAGG
rnacentral:rRNA from 1 species